rnacentral:rRNA from 1 species
UAGGGAAUCUUCGGCAAUGGACGAAAGUCUGACCGAGCAACGCCGCGUGAGUGAUGAAGGCCUUCGGAUCGUAAAACUCUGUUGUUAGAGAAGAACAAGGACGUUAGUAACUGAACGUCCCCUGACGGUAUCUAACCAGAAAGCCACGGCUAACUACGUGCCAGCAGCCGCGGUAAUACGUAGGUGGCAAGCGUUGUCCGGAUUUAUUGGGCGUAAAGCGAGCGCAGGCGGUUUCUUAAGUCUGAUGUGAAAGCCCCCGGCUCAACCGGGGAGGGUCAUUGGAAACUGGGGGACUUGAGUGCAGAAGAGGAGAGUGGAAUUCCAUGUGUAGCGGUGAAAUGCGUAGAUAUAUGGAGGAACACCAGUGGCGAAGGCGGCUCUCUGGUAUGUAACUGACGCUGAGGCUCGAAAGCGUGGGGAGCAAACAGG